AUAUUCUGCAAUGCAUACAGGAAAGUGGCUGCUGAACUUUGCCAAUAUAAGGGCCUGCUGCUGUUGCUUCUUUCAUGUGUUGGUCUUCUGCUUUUCCUGGAAAUCCAAUCCUUUGUUCAUCAGCCAGAACAUCAGAUGAACACCCCUCAUCUCAAGACCACUGGAUCAGAAUUACUAACAGUCUACAGAUUUCACUCUUCCCACCUAUACUUCAAAACAUGUACCUCAUGGGCUUUAACACUAUAGGCUCUUUACAACUUUCUGUUCAGCAUCCCAAAUAAGGCCUUUAUUCAUGGUCUCGUGUUAUAUCAGCCCUUGUAAAUGAUUAAUGUACGUAUUUUAUUAUCACACAAUUCUAAUGGAUGAAAUGUAUUUGGGAAAAUAAGAAAUGGUGAUGGUGAUAUGGGUCUCUCCCUGCUCUCCGCUGUCCUCAGUAAGUCACCUCUAGCUAUAGGGAGUCAAGCUGAAGAUCUGCUUCAUUUUCAUUACAGGCCAGGGUUAUGUACACAGUCAAGGGUGUUCUCUGUCAUAACCUUUUCUACAAAUUUAUUUUUCUGCUACGUGGUGUCAGGGUCCUCAAGAAGUCCCACAGAAAACCACUAUCCACGUAUGUAAUCAGCAAGAGCAUUAUAUUGAGAGAAAAGAUUCCAGCAUGCUGGGGCCACACGUCUAGCACAAAGGCAAAUUAGAGACCCUGAGAAGAGCACACAGGCUCCUUUAAGCACAGCUAGGGGGAGUUUCAGGGACAGUUAGGUCAUCUCAAACAUAUUUGGUUAAGCAAGUAUCAGUUACACUAGUACAUUUAAUAUUGGCUAGGGCUUCAGGGGCUGAAUUGGGUUAGAGUUUUUCCAUCUUUGGGCAUGUGUGGACAAGUCUCAGGGCCUGUUCCAAUUUUUUCAUUACCUUAAGGUAUUGUGGAGGCUGGCUCAGGCCUGGUAUGUGUUAACUCUCUCAUUGUCCUUUUAGGAAACUGAAACUCAGGCCCAGUUGAAAAAUGAGGUAAUGUUCAGACAUUUCACCUGGAAUCAAGAAACAAUAAUAUUUAUACACAAUACUAAGUCUUUGGGUACAUCUGAAGAUGCCUUUAAUACUUAUUUUCUUGUUGCCUUUUUAAAAUUCUGGGAGCUUUUGAUAGAAUGAUGAAGCUCACAGGCUAGGAAAGAACUGUCAGUAAGUUACCCACCCACAACCUAGGAUCUUUUAUUUUAAACAUUUCCUGAUCUAAGAGCCUUAUCUUCUGCCUCAGUGACACCAGAUGCUUAUACAGCUACCAUGCAUGAAAUAAUGUGCUUCUGAUGACUCAACCUAUCACACCCAAUCAUACCAGAAGCCUCGUGCUCCCACAGGUGAUGACAAAAAGGCAAUAUGAACUUCUCCCGGAGCUAAAUGAUUGCCCUUUCCCCUGCACCCAUUUGGAUAAUCAAAGCUGCAAAAUACUGAGGGCUGACUAUGGAGAGAUACUUCUGAGAGAACUGGUACAGGGGAGGGGGGCAAACCAGACUCUCCUAGUAGCCUGAAAGAAAUCUAAGCCUUAGUUUCAGUUCACUAGAAUGGGACAGAGGUCUCAGGAAAACCACAACUUAUGGGUAACCAUCAUCAAGCAUCCCCACAACCCUUCUUCUAGCUCAGCAGACCCCCAAAGUCCUUCUUCUGGCUUAACCCCUCAAAGCCUUUCUGUUAGCUCAGCAGAUGCCCCCAGACUUCUGCAAGCUAAAGAUAGCUUCCCCUACCCAGCCACCGGAAAGUAUCUCUCCACUAGGCCUCCCACCAGUCAGCUUUCACCAAUCAGCUUCCAGACUAAUCUUUUCUCCGCCAAUCAACCCCAGAUUAAUCCCUCCUCUCUGGAAUUCCCCUAACUCUGCUUAAAAGAAGCUUGUGACCUUCCUUGGGUGUCACCAAGAGCCACCCUAAUGUUGAAAAUCAUAAAGAAAUCUUUUUUUAUUGCACACAUGGCUGGCUGUUGGUCUUCUUUGGGUGAUUCUCUCUGACCCUAACAAUUCUGGACCUCAAUUUUUUUUGGAUUUUUGAGCAAGAAUUCCACUGUAUAACAGCUCUAGAUGGCCUAGAUCUCACUCAGUAGACCAGACUGGCCUUGAACUCACAGAGAUCCGAGUGUUGGGAGUAAAGUCAUGCACCACUACCAUCUGACAUCUGGACAUCAAUUUAAAAACUUUCAUGAGAUCCACAUUCAUGUUUUUCAAGGUGAGAGGAUUUUUUUCUUUUAUGAAACAGUGUCUUGUAGCUCAGAGGGCCUCAACCUUGAUGUAAAGCAGAGGAUUACAUCCAAUAUUUGAUAUUCCUGCCUCCAUCUCUAUGGUGCUGAUUUCAGGUGUGUAUCAGUAUCCUAGUUUAUUGCUAUGCAUUCAAGGGUUUUCUGAAUACUAGGCAAGCACUAUAACAAUUAAGCCACACUCACAGUGUAGGGUAAAAGGGCCAAAGAAAGAACACCCUGACGCCCUCUUGACCCCAAGACCAGAACCAAAGGAAAAACACCCUGAUCCUGACUUGACCCUCAUACCAGGGCCAAGGAAAAAACUCUCUGACCCUGAUUUGACCCCAAACCAAGACCAGGGCCAAG